CCAAUAGUACUUUAGAACUCCUAC
rnacentral:siRNA from 1 species